GGGGAAGCGAGGUCGUGAAGACGCCGACUCGGCCCUCACGGGGAGCGCGCCGUGCAGGCCGCUCCCUUCCCACUGCGGGGGCUCUGGGUUUGACAGAGAAUGUUCCAGCACCUCUCAGCACUGCUUCAUUUAUCCUACCAAUAACGAAGAAUGCAAAUAUGAAUGAAGAGAAGGGAUUUGUGAACCAGUUUCUCUAGCUACUUCACAAGGUGGGACGGCAGUGGAGAGCUGAGAGUCUGCACUUGUUGAUGAUGACCAGCUUGGUGACAUUUCUGUUACUGACCAGGGGGUAUCAUCUCCAGGG